UUAUAAAUUUAAAUGUAAGUUAAUGUACUGGAAGGCAUUCCUGCCUAUGGCAGAGGGUUUGGAACUAGAUGAUCUUCAACAUCCUUUCCAACCCAAACCAUUCCAUGAUUCUAUGAAAA